rnacentral:lncRNA from 10 species
UACAGCUCACAAUUCUCUGAUGGGCUUGCCUACUCAUUUAGCCCUUCAUGAAGUCCCUGAGCUGCCUUUUUCAUCUGGAGUCUCCAUGCACAACGGUGAAAAGUGCAUCUUUUAUCUCACCUGAGACAGUGUCUUGCUGUAUCACAAAGCCAGAUCCAGUGCUGGGAUCACAGCUUGUUGCAGCCUCCAACUCCUGGGCUCAUGGAAUCCUCUUGCCUCAGCUUCCCUAGCAGCUGGAACUACAGAAAAACAGACAUUUGAAAGGAGUACUUUGCCAUCGUUUUUAUUUGUUAAUGUUCAGAAAUUAAUAAAUAAUACUUCAUAAUUUAACACUUCUAUCUUGAAUAUAUUUCACAUAUGGGAAUCCAAAUUCUCAUAAAUUCUUGUUCCUGGUAAAUAGCCAUCUAGCAAGUCCUGAUCCUGAUUCUCAGCCUCUAUUAAGGUCCAGAUCAGCAACUAUCCUCAUGGAAAAAUGCUCUAAUGAAGAAAUGGUGGUGACAAUUCUAGAAAAGAAAAUGCCAAAGAUGGAAAACCUUUAAAAUAUAACUUAAAGGUGAAGAAGACCACCUGGACCGGCCACCAUGCAAGAUCAAAGAAAAGGCCCAAAAUAUGGCAAAAGUAUUGAUUACAAGAGUACUAUUUAAUAAACAUCCUAUAUGCUAAACUCUGUUUUAGAGUUUGGUUCCUGGGGUACUCAAAUUGUGCACCUGCCAAGCAAAGCAAUGAUUUGUUAUAAAGCCUUUCCAUAUCUGCAGUAAAGAAGGUAGUUUUACAUAACAAUGAUGACUAUGGGCACUGGAAUUAGCAAGUCCUGGAUUUGAACCUUGGCUUUGCCACUUACUAGCUGUGUGGUCCCAGGAAACCAAAGUUCAGAGACAUAAACAAAAGAGAAAAAACCCACAAAACUUCCUCAAGUCAUAGGUCCAGUAAUAAGGUAAGCUGGGAAUUUAACUCACAUUUUCUGACACUAAAACUAUUGUUCAUUCUCCUGCACUAAGCUUCUACCAUAAUUUAUACACAAUGGACUUUACCUAAGGUUAAUAUAAUUUUGCAAUCACUAGACAAUUGGGAUCAUCUUCCUCUAUCUCUGAAGGUUGGUUCUAUUCGGAUUAUGUUGUGGUUGAGAGGUUUUAUUACAGCUACCAUGUAUUUACCCUAGGCUGAAAUAAUGCAAGCAAUUUUAAUGGAGUGCCAAUUAUAUGCAAAUUUCUGUCCCAGUACUGGUGGAGAAGAAAACAAACAUUUAUGAAUAAAAUCAUCAUCAAAGGAUCUCUUUGUUCAGAUUUUUAGAGAAUAAUAUGAUAUUGCAGAUGCAAUCUUACCUUCAGAUAUUACAUUGAAAUAUUGCCAGUGGCAUGGCAUCUAUCCAAUAACUGGCUUAACUUCCCCUAAAUACAAGCUAUGCUUUAGUUAAACAAAUAUUUAUUGUGUGCCAACCAUGGACUCGGUAUUCGGGGCACAAUAACGAACAAGGCAUGCAGUGAAGGUAUUGUCCUCAUCAAGUUUACAAUGUAGAGGAAGAUGGGAUACAAGAAGAGCGUAUACAAGAGAACAGAAAAGUGAGCAAAAGAAUGAUAAGAGAUGUAAGGAAAAUUUUAAAGAAUGAAGGGAUAGAGAUUGAAUUGGGAGGUUAUUUUGAAUUAUAUGGUAAUUCAAUUAGAUGAAUUUUUUUUUCUAAUUGAAUUAGAUGGAGAAUCUUUUUCUAAUGAGGUAACACUUGGACUGAGACCUGAUGAAUACUGAAGGAGAGUACUAGAAAAUCCCAGGCAGAGUGUUAUUAGUAGCCAGAGGAAUUGGGCAAUUAGAGAAAGAAAUAAAAGGCAUCAAACUUGGAAGGG